GCCCCACAGAACUGGCUUUACCCUGAAGUUCUGUUUGGAACCAUAAACCAAGACAAUGGAAAUAGAAUGAGUGUCAUGAAGCCUCUCACAGACUCCUGGAGCCUCAGCCAAGAUCUCCAUCAAAGCUGCUAGCUCAUGAAGAAGAUCCACAAACACCAGUAGUAUUCUCAACUGAAAGGUAGGCUCGAGUUGCAGGUGUAACAUGCACAAUCGACAUGCCCAGUAUUCACCAACUUACUGUACAAUACCAUCCUACCACCCUUACAUCAGUACCAUGGAGACGCCACCUGCCAAAUCAGAGGAAUCCAGUUGUUUCCAGAAGUUGCCCUUCUCUAAUAAGUGCAAAGAGACUCAUUCAUGUUCUGGAUACAGUCUUGGGAAGAGAAACCGAAGGACUCCAUUGAGGAUCCAGAAUGAUGAUUUGCAAAGGAGUACCUCCUGGAGGAAAAGGCUGAGGCUGGGAUCUGAAGAUAAAACUGACCUACUUCACAGUUUUACUUGGGGCCAGCAGAACAUUUUUUCACUGAGCUGAG
rnacentral:lncRNA from 1 species